UACGGGGGGGUGCGAGCGUUGUCCGGAAUCACUGGGCGUAAAGGGCGCGUAGGUGGUUUGAUAAGGGUGUGGUGAAAGCCCGGGGCUCAACCCCCGGGUCUGCCGUGCCGACUGUCAAACUCGAGGGCUGUAGAGGCAGACGGAAUUCCGGGUGUAGCGGUGGAAUGCGUAGAGAUCCGGAGGAAGACCGGUGGCGAAGGCGGUCUGCUGGGCAGUUUCUGACACUGAUGCGCGGACAGCGUGGGGAGCAAACAGG
rnacentral:rRNA from 1 species